rnacentral:rRNA from 1 species
UGAGGAAUAUUGGGCAAUGCCCGAAAGGGUGACCCAGCAACGCCGCGUGGAGGAUGAAGGUCGUAAGAUUGUACACUCCUGUUAGAGGGGAAGAAUAACUAAGUUUGGAGCUUAGUAUGACUGUACCCUCAGAGAAAGCCCCGGCUAACUACGUGCCAGCAGCCGCGGUAAUACGUAGGGGGCAAGCGUUGUCCGGAUUUACUGGGUGUAAAGGGCGCGCAGGCGGAAUGGAAAGUCAGUGGUGAAAUCCUACAGCUUAACUGUAGAACUGCCUUUGAUACUUUCAUUCUUGAGUUCGGGAGAGAGAGACGGAAUUCCAGGUGUAGUGGUGAAAUACGUAGAUAUCUGGAAGAACACCAGUUGCGAAGGCGGUCUCUUGGUCCGAUACUGACGCUGAGGCGCGAAAGCGUGGGGAGCAAACA